AGUGAACGCUGGCGGCAGGCCUAAUACAUGCAAGUCGAACGGCAGCACAGCAGAGCUUGCUCUGUGGGUGGCGAGUGGCGGACGGGUGAGGAAUACGUGGGAAUCUGCCCAGUCGUGGGGGAUAACGUAGGGAAACUUACGCUAAUACCGCAUGCGCCCUUCGGGGAAAGCCGGGGACCUUCGGGCCUGGCGCGAUUGGAUGAGCCCACGUCGGAUUAACUAGUUGGCGGGGUAAAGGCCCACCAAGGCGACGAUCCGUAGCUGGUCUGAGAGGAUGAUCAGCCACACUGGAACUGAGACACGGUCCAGACUCCUACGGGAGGCAGCAGUAGGGAAUAUUGGACAAUGGGCGCAAGCCUGAUCCAGCCAUGCCGCGUGAGUGAAGAAGGCCCUCGGGUUGUAAAGCUCUUUUGUCCGGAAAGAAAGCGCCGGGUUAAUACCCUGGUGUCCUGACGGUACCGGAAGAAUAAGCACCGGCUAACUUCGUGCCAGCAGCCGCGGUAAU
rnacentral:rRNA from 1 species